rnacentral:lncRNA from 1 species
UAUAUAUACAUAUACACUCUACUAAACAUUCCAUGGCCAUCAGAAUACAAGAACAUCGGGCAGAUAUUUGUCAUGAGAGAACCUCUAUGGCUCUUGCUACUUAUGUAACAGAUGCAGGCAUAGUAGACGACUUUUCCUGGGCCAAUCUCAUUCUCACUGCACCUCCCACUGAACACCUCAAAUGGUUAGAGGCUAUGCACAUUUUUAAAUCCAGCCUCACAGCUACGUGCAUAAAUUUUAAAGAGGAGAUGGUUUUGUCAUUGUCCUGGAAAAAAUUGAUUCACAACUCGAUCUAGCCACUUGUUUCGUCCAGGCAUGCAGACUCGUUGCUCAUAUGCGACAUGGCUUUUAGUGAAUUUUUUGAAUUUAUAAUCAAACUUUUAAUUAAACAUUAUUCCAUAAUCGAAUGACCAUCUAGGAACAGUUAAGAACCUGAUGCAGAGCCAAGAAGGGGUUCGAAAACGUUCGUUUUUUAGUUGUUUCAUUAUCAUACAGUAAUUGGUUGUGAGUGCAUCAUUAUCGUUAUUUAUAGAUUUUUAAGAUAAGAUUGUAAUAAAGCAUGGCACCACGUGCAAUUAAAAUUUUUUUCCUUUUUUUUUUUUUUUUUUGCUAGAAAAUUUACACAACUCUGAAUGACACACUGCACAAACUCAACACAUUUUAAGGAGCGUGAGUAUAAUAUCUGGAUUAAGUUAUCAAGCCGUGGCAUGUUUUGUGCUUUUAUAUCUCUACACUGAUAUUGCCAUCAAGAGGUAACGUAUGGUUUUAAAUAUUACAAAUAGCUUUUACAAAUUAUUUCACAAAUUUUUUAAAACAAUAAUUAUGUGUAGAAAUGUGAGAAAAAUUUUAGUAAGGAACAAUUUUUAUUUAAAUAAUAAAUUAAAUGUUUUUGACUACUGAUUCUUUGUAAAUUGUUAAUCAAAACAAUCCUAUAAUUAAGUUUGAAUUAGUGAGUGAUUUGUGAAAUGGUGUGUGAAAUUUGUUGUUGUUAAUUUUAGAAAGGCACAGAUAUGCUCCAGGAAUGAGUUUUAAAUCAUUUUUGGCGUUCCCUUUCUGUGCAGAGAAAUGUUUGGAUCGCUAUAUUAUUGUCUACUUUAUACGACAAUAAUACGAUAUCCAACAACAGUUGUAAGCAAUAAAGAAACUUUAUGUAUUAACAUACUAAUUGCCAAAUUAUGGGGCAUGCAUGAUUUAAAUUUCGUCACUUGCAGUGCUAGUGUUGGCUCGAUUAAUACCUAACUUCUGGUAGUGUGUAAAUGAUGGAAACCAAAUGGAAAGUUUUAAUUUACUUUUAAAGAAUAUGGUCUUAAAGAAUGUAACAGUUGCCGAAUUACGAAAGAAAUUAAACAAAUUAGGGGACAAGGGCAAAACUUUUAGAAAGGAGCUUAAAAUAACAAGUAUAAACUGACAUUUUUACAGUUGUUGGCACUUGUUUAACAGAAUUAUCAAGACAACAAUUUAGUUUAAAUUACUCGACUUCGAUUUUCAACUGUUUAUAUACUAAAUUGAGUUCAGGAAUAUUGGAAAUUCAAAAAUGUAUAGAAUAUGUUUUAGAAAUAAACGAUAACUUUUAUAUUAGAUAUGAAAUGUUAUCGGAAGAAUGGAGCAUAGUAAAUGUUCCCUCGUGGUAUCUCAAAGAACCCUUGAUUUUUGAAGAUGAAAAUGACGAGAUGAUAUAUUUAGAUGAAAAAGGUAAUUAUCUUUUUAUAUUUAAGUAAAAAUUAUUUUUUUACAUAAAAAAAAACUUAAUUUCCAGAAGGUCCUAAUAUGGAAUGGGAAACGGGGAAAAUUUGUAACAUAUAUCGUUUUGUUUGAGUAAACUCAUUAAAGGAAAGUGGACUGAAAAAAGUUAAAAAAAAUUAAAUAUAUGAAGUAUGGUUUAUAUUUUAAUAAUAAAUUAUAUCAAGGGAAAAGAUCAUAAAAUCAAUAAAAAGUACCGUUAUUAUAUUUCAAAUCACCAAAGACUGGAUAGUAAUAAAAAUAAAUAAUACGAUCAAUACAAAACCUUCCUCACUUAUUUUUAGCCGUUUAUACACGAGUACGAAUGUUUUCGGCCUUCUUAAUAGGCCGCCUUCAGGUACACUGUGGUCUGUUAGAGCGCCGGUUGGUAGAAGUUUAACAUUGACACUGUUAUUGUCUUUAACCAGAAUUACAUAGGCAUAUUUAGAAAACACGUCGAUAGUUGUUAAUAUAAAAAAAAACAUAGACUUUUUAUUCCAAAAACUCUCGUUCAAACUGUGCAAAAAAGUAUAACCGAAGGGGCAUCAAAAAGGGUGUGGUUUCAACUUGUAUGAGAGUUUCUGGGAUACUAAUUAUCUGAGAAUUGGUCGAGCAAUUUUGAAAUUAUGCUAGAAUUCAUCAUAUUUUGCCCCUGCUCGAUGUCUUUCCCUCAAAAUGAUUAGAUACACUGGGAUAAAAGUUAUAAAAUGUUAAACUUUUAACAAAUUAUCCCAGAGUCUCUCAAUUAUAUACUACUAUUAAGUAUAUUAAAAUACUUUUCAUUUGGUUUUACAUAUAGUCAUAUUUUAAUUUAUAAUUGUUUUUUAAUGAAUUAGAUGUAGAUGUCUACAGAAAAUACUUAAAUGCUAACAUUUUCUGGCAGAAGUAACUUCUAUCCAUCUUUGAGAUAUAACAGGGAAUAGAAGAGAGUUCUCUACUAAAAAAAAUUUAAAUUUGUUUUUUUUUAAUGCAUUUCAUUAGAGUGGAUUACAAAACGUAUUUAAGGGAGAUACAGUGGCAUAACUUCCCUAUUAACAGGAAAUUGAUUUGAACUUAAAAUGUUUCAUUCUUUCAGAUAUGGGGCACACUAAGGGACCAUCUAAAAAAAUUCUGAUGCUUUGGAAGCCAAAGGUUUCCCCCUAUGAAAUGCUGCAGGUAUCAACAGUUGUGUACUUCUCAAAAAGUUGUAUGUUAAAUUCUGUUGAGUCCUGACUGCCUUAAGAUUGUUUGGCCUAGCAUGUCCUCAUGGUUAUCUGUGUACCAUGUUUGUUAGAACCAUCAAAAUGGAAAGUUUUUAAGAAUAAACAGAAUCAAAUAGGAGUGCCAAAAUUCCCCAAUUUGGAUUAUGUUUGAAUCGGUUUCUGAGAAUAGAAAAAAACAAAGACCAGAAAAUAUAUUUAGUGUUAUGCUUCAGUCAUCCAGCCUCUGGAGAUUGUGAUUCUAGAAAAAUUGACUCUUGUAUCCUAUAUUACUAAGAAUAACAAAAAUGUGCUGCUCAUCUGUAUUGCAGUUCCAUCGUGAAGAAGAUAUGGGUUAUUUACCGAAACUCAAAAUUAUUACAUUUUAUAAUUUAACGAAAGGUGAUGACAUAUGGUGGACAGAUUACAGGUGCACACAAUUGCUCGGGCAACACCCAAAAAUGCCA